rnacentral:piRNA from 1 species
UGAAGUACAAAAUGAGAGAGCUUGUCCUUU